GAUGAAGAACGCAGCGAAAUGCGAUAAGUAAUGUGAAUUGCAGAAUUCAGUGAAUCAUCGAAUCUUUGAACGCCCAUUGCGCCCGCCAGUAUUCUGGCGGGCAUGCCUGUUCGAGCGUCAUUUCAACCAUCAAGCCCCGGGCUUGUGUUGGGGACCUGCGGCUGCCGCAGGCCCUGAAAAGCAGUGGCGGGCUCGCUGUCACACCGAGCGUAGUAGCAUACAUCUCGCUCUGGGCGUGCUGCGGGUUCCGGCCGUUAAACCACCUUCAUAACCCAAGGUUGACCUCGGAUCAGGUAGGAAGACCCGCUGAACUUAAGCAUAUCAAUAAGCGGAGGA
rnacentral:misc_RNA from 1 species